rnacentral:misc_RNA from 1 species
CCAAUAGCGUAUAUUAAAGUUGUUGCAGUUAAAAAGCUCGUAGUUGAAUUUCGGGAUCAAUACGUCGGUCGUGCUUUCGGGUACGUACUGGCGUCAUUGGUUUCUCAUUUCUGACGAACCAUGAUGUCAUUAAUUUGGUGUCUUGGGAAAUCAGGACUGUUACUUUGAAAAAAUUAGAGUGUUUAAAGCAGGCUCACGCUUGAAUACAUUAGCAUGGAAUAAUGAAAUAGGACGUUUGAUUCUAUUUUGUUGGUUUCUAGGAUCGACGUAAUGAUUAAUAGGGAUAGUUGGGGGCAUUAGUAUUCAAUUGUCAGAGGUGAAAUUCUUGGAUUUAUUUAAGACUAACUACUGCGAAAGCAUUUGCCAAGGAUGUUUUCAUUAAUCAAGAACGAAAGUUAGGGGCUCGAAGACGAUCAGAUACCGUCGUAGUCUUAACCAUAAACUAUGCCGACUAGGGAUCGGAUGAUGUUAAUUUUUUAAUGACUCAUUCGGCGCCUUACG